GAAAUAGGAAGAGAGAUAAUUAGAAAGAAGUUACCAAUUUAGAGGUCUAUGUUAGAAUCCUGCAAAAGAAAACAAAAUAAGUUAGUUUCUAAAAAUAGAAAAUCUAAAAUUAGAAAUUUUUUAAAGAACAAAGAAGAAGAGUUAGUUUCUAAAAAGGAAGGAAAUCCUAGAAUUAGAAAGUUACUAAAAAUAAAAAUAGAAAUUAGUUUCUAAAAAGGGAAAAAUUUCUAAAACUAGAAAAUAGAAAGUUUCUAAAAUUAGAAA